rnacentral:rRNA from 1 species
ACGAACGCUGGCGGCGUGCUUAACACAUGCCAGUCGAACGGAAAGGCCCUGCUUUUGUGGGGUGCUCGAGUGGCGAACGGGUGAGUAACACGUGAGUAACCUGCCCUUGACUUUGGGAUAACUUCAGGAAACUGGGGCUAAUACCGGAUAGGAGCUCCUGCUGCAUGGUGGGGGUUGGAAAGUUUCGGCGGUUGGGGAUGGACUCGCGGCUUAUCAGCUUGUUGGUGGGGUAGUGGCUUACCAAGGCUUUGACGGGUAGCCGGCCUGAGAGGGUGACCGGCCACAUUGGGACUGAGAUACGGCCCAGACGCCUACGGGAGGCAGCAGUGGGGAAUAUUGCACAAUGGGCGGAAGCCUGAUGCAGCAACGCCGCGUGCGGGAUGACGGCCUUCGGGUUGUAAACCGCUUUCGCCUGUGACGAAGCGUGAGUGACGGUAAUGGGUAAAGAAGCACCGGCUAACUACGUG